AGUGAACGCUGGCGGUAGGCCUAACACAUGCAAGUCGAACGGCAGCACAGUAAGAGCUUGCUCUUACGGGUGUCGAGUGGCGGACGGGUGAGGAAUACAGCGGAAUCUACUUUUUCGUGGGGGAGAACGUAGGGAAACUUACGCUAAUACCGCAUACGACCUACGGGUGAAAGCAGGGGAUCUUCGGACCUUGCGCGAUUGAAUGAGCCGAUGUCGGAUUAGCUAGUUGGCGGGGUAAAGGCCCACCAAGGCGACGAUCCGUAGCUGGUCUGAGAGGAUGAUCAGCCACACUGGAACUGAGACACGGUCCAGACUCCUACGGGAGGCAGCAGUGGGGAAUAUUGGACAAUGGGCGCAAGCCUGAUCCAGCCAUACCGCGUGGGUGAAGAAGGCCUUCGGGUUUUAAAGCCCUUUUGUUGGGAAAGAAAAGCAGCAGGUUAAUACCCCGCUGUUCUGACGGUACCCAAAGAAUAAGCACCGGCUAACUUCGUG
rnacentral:rRNA from 1 species